rnacentral:rRNA from 1 species
GACGAACGCUGGCGGCGUGCUUAACACAUGCAAGUCGAACGGUAAGGCUCCAGCUUGCUGGGGUACACGAGUGGCGAACGGGUGAGUAACACGUGGGUGACCUGCCCUGCACUUCGGGAUAAGCCUGGGAAACUGGGUCUAAUACCGGAUAGGACCGCACCGUGAGGGUGUGGUGGAAAGUUUUUUCGGUGUGGGAUGGGCCCGCGGCCUAUCAGCUUGUUGGUGGGGUAAUGGCCUACCAAGGCGGCGACGGGUAGCCGGCCUGAGAGGGUGGACGGCCACAUUGGGACUGAGACACGGCCCAGACUCCUACGGGAGGCAGCAGUGGGGAAUAUUGCACAAUGGGCGGAAGCCUGAUGCAGCGACGCCGCGUGGGGGAUGACGGCCUUCGGGUUGUAAACUCCUUUCACCAUCGACGAAGGGUUUCUGACGGUAGAUGGAGAAGAAGCACCGGCUAACUACGUGCCAGCAGCCGCGGUAAUACGUAGGGUGCGAGCGUUGUCCGGAAUUACUGGGCGUAAAGAGCUCGUAGGUGGUUUGUCGCGUCGUCUGUGAAAUUCCGGGGCUUAACUCCGGGCGUGCAGGCGAUACGGGCAUAACUUGAGUACUGUAGGGGAGACUGGAAUUCCUGGUGUAGCGGUGAAAUGCGCAGAUAUCAGGAGGAACACCGGUGGCGAAGGCGGGUCUCUGGGCAGUAACUGACGCUGAGGAGCGAAAGCAUGGGGAGCGAACAGGAUUAGAUACCCUGGUAGUCCAUGCCGUAAACGGUGGGCGCUAGGUGUGGGUUUCCUUCCACGGGAUCCGUGCCGUAGCUAACGCAUUAAGCGCCCCGCCUGGGGAGUACGGCCGCAAGGCUAAAACUCAAAGGAAUUGACGGGGGCCCGCACAAGCGGCGGAGCAUGUGGAUUAAUUCGAUGCAACGCGAAGAACCUUACCUGGGCUUGACAUAUACAGGAUCGCGCCAGAGAUGGUGUUUCCCUUGUGGCUUGUAUACAGGUGGUGCAUGGUUGUCGUCAGCUCGUGUCGUGAGAUGUCGGGUUAAGUCCCGCAACGAGCGCAACCCUUGUCUUAUGUUGCCAGCACGUUGUGGUGGGGACUCGUAAGAAACUGCCGGGGUUAACUCGGAGGAAGGUGGGGAUGACGUCAAAUCAUCAUGCCCCUUAUGUCCAGGGCUUCACACAUGCUACAAUGGUCGGUACAGUGGGUUGCCAGUCCGUGAGGGCGAGCUAAUCCCGCAAAGCCGGUCUCAGUUCGGAUCGGGGUCUGCAACUCGACCCCGUGAAGUCGGAGUCGCUAGUAAUCGCAGAUCAGCAACGCUGCGGUGAAUACGUUCCCGGGCCU